rnacentral:rRNA from 1 species
GACAGAGGGUGCAAACGUUGUUCGGAAUUACUGGGCGUAAAGCGCGUGUAGGCGGCUAAGUAAGUCGGGCGUGAAAUCCCACGGCUCAACCGUGGAAGUGCACUCGAAACUGCAUAGCUAGAGUCCUGGAGAGGAAGGUGGAAUGCUUGGUGUAGAGGUGAAAUUCGUAGAUAUCAAGCGGAACACCGGUGGCGAAGGCGGCCUUCUGGGCAGUGACUGGACGCUGAGACGCGAAAGCGUGGGGAGCAAACAGG